ACCAACCAAGUGUGUGUAUGUGCAGGCAGUGAGUGCUUCAGGGAGGCAGUGACUGGCGUGUCGUAGCAGGAAAAAUAUUUUGAAUUUCAUGAACUGUACUGGCGGACUGGCAAUAAAUAAGAUCUGUAACAUAAACAUUCUUUCCGUACUUGGUGACUAACAUAUAGGGGCCAGUCAGUGAGGGCAUUUGGACUAUGGGACUCUACUACUCGCAUGUCUGUAACGCAACGUGUCCCUUGAAACUCGUGUUUAGUAACGGAAGUGGAAUAUUUGGCAAAACUGACUACAGUCUAAAGUUGACCUUGAAUGCAAAACAACUGACUCCGAAAUUCGUCAUGUGUUCAUGAAUGAGCCAGAAAGGCCAAAAAUAUCAUCGAAACAGAAUGGCCGACUUUACGAUUAUUACAUUGUUUGACAAUCAUUACAGUAAUUUUAACUGAUUGCAGUGGAAGGCUGUGUCACACAUGGACGUGAAUUUGCGUGAAACUUGAGCAAAAGAUACAUAUUCCUCUCUCUGGAUUUCAAAUUUACUCACCCAUCCUCAUGGAAUGGUUCACACAAUUCAAGUAAGUUUCAAUUACAUACCUGUCCAAAUAUUAUUUAUUUAAAUUCUGAUCCCUUAAUUCACAGUAAAUCAACUUAUUUAAAGACAAGAGAACACGGGAGAAAAAAUCUUUGUCAUGUAGUCACCGUUACAACCUUAGAAGCUGUGUCUGUAACUAUAUGAGAGGGGUAAUGGCAGUGCAGGACUGAUUCAAUAUGGUCUAAAUGACAUUCAAACAGACAGAAUACAAAUAAUGAACAAUUCGGUUAUUGAGGAGUGCUGACAUAGGCAAGAGUGGCAAUGUUUGGCCCACAGGAAGCUAUGACAAUGAGAGUCACAGUGCCGCGAUAAUGGUGAUGCAUAAGUAAGCGUCGCGAUGCCCCGGCCGAGCCGCGAGUCGUACGGGGACCAGAAGCCACCCUACUCCUACAUCUCGCUCACCGCCAUGGCCAUCUGGAGCUCGCCGGAGAAGAUGCUGCCCCUGUCAGACAUCUACCGCUUCAUCACGGAGCGUUUCCCUUACUACCGCCGCAACACGCAGCGCUGGCAAAACUCUCUGAGGCACAACCUCUCCUUCAACGACUGUUUCAUCAAGAUCCCGAGGCGGCCCGACCGCCCUGGAAAGGGCGCCUACUGGGCCCUGCAUCCUGCCGCCCUCGACAUGUUCGAGAAUGGCAGCUUCCUCAGGCGCCGGAAACGUUUCAAGCUGCCAAAAAUCGAGAAAGACGCCCUAGAAGUGGGACUGGCAUCGAUUCAGCAAGCUUCCAGUAACGACCCUAGUCGUGCGUUGCUGAAGAGUGUGUCAGCGUCGCAUCAGGCGAAACAGUACGCGGGAGCGUCGCUUCACGUUCCCGGCAAGUCCUUCAGCAUUGAUAGCAUCAUGCAUGGUGCAGUGGACACUCUACCUGAUGCGGCGUCGGCAGCGGCGGCGGCUCUGCAAGCUUUACAGCAUCCUGCAGUGCCUCAACCCAUGCUGGCGCACGGCAACUCCUUCUGCUCACCACCCUACGCUCCCAGCAUCCCUGUGGCGGCUCCGGCCUCUUCAGGAUACUUACAUCACCAUCCCCCCGUUUGUCUUCAGCAGCAAUUAUCGGGCGGGUACUCUGCUGGUGGUUAUAUCGUACACCCAGCUGCUGCUGCCGUCUAUGCUGCAGCCCUCGCUACAGCCGGACUUCUUCUUCCCCCGUUCAGCAAGCCACCACAAGCGCUUCCGAGUCUGGUCAAGCCCCAUCCUAUGAUUGCGCCGUGUCCUCAGCAGUUCGCUCUUCCUGGUCCUCCUCUGCCACCAGCCCAGAGGGUGAUGGAGUUAGAGGACUCCGCGUCGCCGCCUCCCUCGACACCCUUGCUCGAUGUUGUCGACAAUUCCACGUCUUCAUCUUCUUCGGAUUGCUUGCAGCUUCCUGGGGUUCUCUAGCAGCAAAGGGUAAUUGGGCUUGACGAAUAUGCACGACUCUCGUAUUUACCAAGAGGACCAAGGAAAACUAGGAAGUCUUAGCUGCUCUAGCCAGCCUUAGAGCCGAGAUUCGAAUCCGGGACCGUCCAAACUCAACGCAGGAGAGCUACACAAACACUGCAAUGUUAUAUAUGGAUAUGUGUGGAGGACGCGAGAAAACCAACAGCAUCGAAUCGUGUCAGGUAGAAGAACUCUUCUGCAAGAACUGGGAUCGACUCUCAGAAAUGAGACUAUAGCCUUGUGCUCAGAACAUGUGUGUUCUGUGGAUUAUCUGCAGAGACCAACGCGAUUUCUAGGACAGUAUCGCGAGGAGAGUGGAUUUAGCUGAAGAACAUUGCUUUAAAUGUGUUAAUAUUUAUAAUCUAAAUUAAGUGAUACUUAGUAUGAUAGUUAUACAGUUGAAAUACACAUAACUGCGAUGUACAGUGCACGAGAACUACCUACAUCUGCCAUAGAUUAGUCCCUUAGCGACGACGACUCACCUUAAACUCUUGAAUAUUUUUUAGUUAACAUAGCUUGAAGUUUAGAAUAGGCUACUUCAGGGCUCGUAAUGCAGCCCACCCCGUACGAGCAAAAGCAUUUAAACAAAAAAAAAAGUGCAAUUUCCUUAAAAUGUGAUAAACUGUACGAAAUAGAAUUAAUUUAGACAUUACUGUUGAAAGUCGCUUAUCGGGUGUUUGAAUAAUUCUAAGACAGCCUGGAGUUAAAAUUUUUAAAGAAAAUGUAAACAUUUAAGACUUAUGAAAACUAAAGAUAA